rnacentral:rRNA from 1 species
CACGUAGGGGGCAAGCGUUGUCCGGAUUUAUUGGGCGUAAAGAGCUCGUAGGCGGUUCGGUAAGUCGGGUGUGAAACCUCCAGGCUCAACCUGGAGACGCCACCUGAUACUGCUGUGACUCGAGUCCGGUAGGGGAGCGUGGAAUUCCUGGUGUAGCGGUGAAAUGCGUAGAUAUCUGGAGGAACACCGGUGGCGAAGGCGGCGUUCUGGACUGCAACUGACACUGAGGAACGAAAGCCAGGGGAGCAAACGGG